rnacentral:rRNA from 1 species
GACGAACGCUGGCGGCGUGCCUAAUACAUGCAAGUGGGACGCAAGGGAACACACUGUGCUUGCACACCGUGUUUUCUUGAGUCGCGAACGGGUGAGUAACGCGUAGGUAACCUGCCUAUUAGCGAGGGAUAACUAUUGGAAACGAUAGCUAAUACCGCAUAAUAUUAAUUAUUGCAUGAUAAUUGAUUGAAAGAUGCAAGCGCAUCACUAGUAGAUGGACCUGCGUUGUAUUAGCUAGUUGGUAAGGUAAGAGCUUACCAAGGCGACGAUACAUAGCCGACCUGAGAGGGUGAUCGGCCACACUGGGACUGAGACACGGCCCAGACUCCUACGGGAGGCAGCAGUAGGGAAUCUUCGGCAAUGGACGAAAGUCUGACCGAGCAACGCCGCGUGAGUGAAGAAGGUUUUCGGAUCGUAAAGCUCUGUUGUAAGUCAAGAACGUGUGUGAGAGUGGAAAGUUCACACAGUGACGGAGCUACCAGAAAG